GACGAACGCUGGCGGCGUGCCUAAUACAUGCAAGUAGAACGCUGAAGGAGGAGCUUGCUUCUCUGGAUGAGUUGCGAACGGGUGAGUAACGCGUAGGUAACCUGCCUGGUAGCGGGGGAUAACUAUUGGAAACGAUAGCUAAUACCGCAUAAUAGUAGAUGUUGCAUGACAUUUGCUUAAAAGGUGCAAUUGCAUCACUACCAGAUGGACCUGCGUUGUAUUAGCUAGUUGGUGAGGUAACGGCUCACCAAGGCGACGAUACAUAGCCGACCUGAGAGGGUGAUCGGCCAAACUGGGACUGAGACACGGCCCAGACUCCUACGGGAGGCAGCAGUAGGGAAUCUUCGGCAAUGGACGGAAGUCUGACCGAGCAACGCCGCGUGAGUGAAGAAGGUUUUCGGAUCGUAAAGCUCUGUUGUAAGAGAAGAACGAGUGUGAGAGUGGAAAGUUCACACUGUGACGGUAUCUUACCAGAAAGGGACGGCUAACUACGUG
rnacentral:rRNA from 1 species